CUCUCUCUCUCUCUCUCUCUCACCUGUAAAUACCGCCGCCUCUCUUUCCUCUCUCCGCUUCGUGUUUUAAAGUUUUGUUACCAGAAGAAGUGGUUGUGGAUCGGUUCGGAUCGGCGCAGAUCGAACAAAAUCAAAUGGAAUCGUAUCUGAGUAUGUUGGCUAUGAAGCACAAGCGGCACAACCCGUGGAACUCAAUUGCGGCGACGUCCAGUCAACAGGAGUUGGAGGAGAUGCAAUCCAAUCCCUCCGACGAUUUCAACUGCCUCGCGCUCGUGGUUACGUUUACUUUUCCAAUACGCCUUUCGUUUUUAUUUAUUUAUAAAUAUUCUUAUUCUUUGAGUUUUGGUUUAAUUUCACUUUGAAGGAUAAGUUAAGAAUUUGGAUUUGUGAUUCUGAUUUCUAUUUGAAUUUUGGGUAUUGGGUUCGACCUCAAUUAUUGUUUUUAGCAUUUGAUUUUGUUUUAAGAUAAUUUUUUGAAGAACUGAAAAGACAAGGCUUCAAAUUUUUUUUUUUUUUUUUUGGCUUUCUGGCUAUUGAAAUUGGGCUUGUUGUUUGGCCGACACAUUAUUGAUAUUUGCUUUCAGUCGAACCCACGGGACUGGCAAUUUGCAAUCAGAGGCCCUAAUGGAACUGAAUUUGAGGGUGGAAUUUAUCAUGGCCGGAUCAAGAUUCCGGAGGAAUACCCACACAAGC
rnacentral:lncRNA from 1 species